GUACUGGCAUUGUGACGUGAUAAUUGUAAACCAUUAUGACGUCAUACGUCAAGUGGCAUUAUACUAGUGUAAUACUGACAUAAAAAUAUUAC